rnacentral:rRNA from 1 species
UACGUAGGUGGCAAGCGUUAUCCGGAUUUAUUGGGUUUAAAGGGUGCGCAGGCGGUCUGUUAAGUCAGCGGUCAAAUCGUGGGGCUCAACCCCAUCCAGCCGUUGAAACUGGGGAUCUAGAGUGUGCGAGAGGUAUGCGGAAUGCGUGGUGUAGCGGUGAAACGCAUAGAUAUCACGCAGAACCCCGAUUGCGAAGGCAGCAUACCGGUGCACAACUGACGCUCAGGCACGAAAGCGUGGUUAUCGAACAGG